AGAGUUUGAUCAUGGCUCAGAUUGAACGCUGGCGGUAUGCUUAACACAUGCAAGUCGAACGGUAACAGUCCCUCACCUAGAAAUUUCUUAAAAAGAGGUUUGUAGGUGAGGGAGCUGACGAGUGGCGGACGGGUGCGUAAUGUAUAGGAAUCUGCCUAGUAGUGGGGGACAACUCGGAGAAAUUCGAGCUAAUACCGCAUAAGCCCUCCGGGGGAAAACGGGGGAUCUUCGGACCUCGUGCUAUUAGAUGAGCCUAUAUUAGAUUAGCUUGUUGGUGAGGUAAUGGCUCACCAAGGCGACGAUCUAUAGCUGGUCUGAGAGGAUGAUCAGCCACACUGGGACUGAGACACGGCCCAGACUCCUACGGGAGGCAGCAGUGGGGAAUAUUGGACAAUGGGCGAAAGCCUGAUCCAGCAAUACCGCGUGUGUGAAGAAGGCCUGAGGGUUGUAAAGCACUUUCAAUUGGGAGGAAUACCUAAUAGUUAAUAGCUAUUAGAUUGAC
rnacentral:rRNA from 1 species